ACCGGAGCUUGACAAUGUCGUGGCGUAGCAAGAAAUAACGACAACACUAUGGCUAGUGUGACAGUCGCGGGCAGUAGGGGGCCUCGACGUCGCAGUGGAGUGGACGUACGACCAGAGCACCACGUCGGGUCGACCAGAGAGAGGCUCCCGGCGUGCGACAAUGUGAAGAGGAUGGCUCGCCCAUGGAUUUGAGUUGCACAUGUGCUGUCCAAAGGCUUGGGAUUUUCGUCGAACACACGAUGCACGAAGCGCGACAUCAACAACGAGCGGAGUUUGUGACGUCGCAUAGGGGCUGC
rnacentral:lncRNA from 1 species